rnacentral:rRNA from 1 species
GACGAACGCUGGCGGCGUGCCUAAUACAUGCAAGUAGAACGCAGUUGCGAACGGGUGAGUAACGCGUAGGUAACUGCCUCAUAGCGGGGGAUAACUAUUGGAAACGAUAGCUAAUACCGCAUAAUGUGAGAUGGACGGGGGGUUUAUUAGCUAGUUGGUGAGGUAAAGGCUCACCAAGGCGACGAUACAUAGCCGACCUGAGAGGGUGAUCGGCCACCCUGGGACUGGGGCACGGCCCAGAAUCCUACGGGAGGCAGCAGUAGGGAAUCUUCGGCAAUGGACGGAAGUCUGACCGAGCAAAGGCGCGUGAGUGAAGAAGGUUUUCGGAUCGUAAAGCUCUGUUGUUAGAGAAGCCUUCCCUCCCCCCAAAGGGACGGCUAACUACGUGCCAGCAGCCGCGGUACUUC